UAACCGUAUUCAUAUAAUAUAUAUAUUCCAAAAUUCAACAUAACCCCUUAGUUUUUUCUCCUUACCAAUAAUACCCGCACUUCUGUUAUUUCGUGUUCCAGGACGUCCUUGUCCCCCUUGCUUCCAUAAUUCAGCCCGUUUGCACAAGGCCCCUAACUCUAGGGUUUCCUUGCACCCGAAAUCCCUGCACCUCUUUUCUCUGGAAGCCCAAAGCAUCUUGUGUUGAUAAUUUGUCUUACGUUUCAUCAAUGUGUUAGUCUGAAGGGGACGCAAACAUGCAAACUCAUCUGGACCUUAGAAGUGAUUUUCAAUGCCGAGAAAAAGCUUAUACUGAUAUGCCAGUUUGGUGGUGA